rnacentral:rRNA from 1 species
AUGUGCGAAGCACGAACAAGGUUAAUCCGAGUGGUUUCUGCUAAAGAAACCUUUUGCUAGUCCUAGAAACACUAGUGAAUAAGGGGUGGGCAAGUUCUGGUGUCAGCCGCCGCGGUAAAACCAGCACCUCAAGUGGUCAGGAUGAUUAUUGGGCCUAAAGCAUCCGUAGCUCGUUUUGUAAGUUUUCGGUUAAAUCCAUACGCUUAACGUAUGGGCUGCCGGGAAUACUGCAUAACUAGGAAGUGGGAGAGGUAGACGGUACUCGGUAGGAAGGGGUAAAAUCCUUUGAUCUAUUGAUGACCACCUGUGGCGAAGGCGGUCUACCAGAACACGUUCGACGGUGAGGGAUGAAAGCUGGGGGAGCAAACCGGAUUAGAUACCCGGUUUAGUCCCAGCUGUAAACUAUGCAAACUCAGUGAUGCAUUGGCUUGUGGCCAAUGCAGUGCUGCAGGGAAAGCCGUUAAGUUUUGCCGCCUGGGAAGUACGUACGCAAGUUUUGAAACUUAAA